rnacentral:rRNA from 1 species
UCCUACGGGAGCAGCAGUGGGGGAUAUUGCACAAUGGGGGGAACCCUGAUGCAGCGACGCCGCGUGGGUGAAGGAGCGUUUCGGCGCGUAAAGCCCUAUCGGCAGGGAAGAAGGAGGACGGUACCUGACUAAGAAGCCCCGGCUAACUACGUGCCAGCAGCCGCGGUAAUACGUAGGGGGCAAGCGUUAUCCGGAUUUACUGGGUGUAAAGGGAGCGUAGACGGCGAAGAAAGUCUGAAGUGAAAGCCCGCGGCUCAACCGCGGAAUGGCUUUGGAAACUUUUUUGCUGGCGUACCGGAGAGGAA